UAAGGCUUUAGCUUAAUUAAAGUGUCUGUUUUGCAUACAGUAGAUGUGGGUUAAUUACCUGCAAGUCUUAAC
rnacentral:tRNA from 1 species